rnacentral:rRNA from 1 species
UACGGGGGGAGCAAGCGUUGUUCGGAUUUACUGGGCGUAAAGGGCGCGUAGGCGGCCAGCGCAAGUCAGUUGUGAAAUCUCCGGGCUUAACUCGGAAAGGUCAACUGAUACUGCGCGGCUAGAGUGCAGAAGGGGCAACUGGAAUUCCUGGUGUAGCGGUGAAAUGCGCAGAUAUCAGGAAGAACACCCGUGGCGAAGGCGGUUCUCUGGGACGGUACUGACGCUGAGACGCGAAAGCGUGGGGAGCAAACAGG